GUCAAACUCAAAGGUAAUUUGAGUAUGUCAAUUAUUUUUAACUAAAGCUUUACAAACAAAGAAUUUGAAUGACUACAUAAAGGUAAUGUACAUCACAUACAUAGUUGAAUUAAACAUGUUAAAUGACUAUUGUUUUAAUGUGGAAUGGAUAAACACAAGAUGUAUACACUGUAUUAAAUACAGAAGAACAUGCAAGUUAUGGAAAAUAAGAAUAGAGGGG
rnacentral:lncRNA from 1 species